rnacentral:lncRNA from 1 species
ACCGUUCUGAAAACUCUCCAGCGUAGAAUUCAGGAACCCUGAGUUUUCUAUCUCUGUCUAGUUCUGGACUGAAUGGGCUCAAGUCAUCUAGUUAACCUCUCUGGAUUUCAGUCUUCUGAAAAGUGAAGCUAAGAGAUCUAGCAUUCUGCAGAAAAGUACUGGAGAUGACUCAGGACUGAAAAUGAUCAUGAAGCCCCUUUGCAAAUAUCAAAGUGGUGAUGAAGCAGUCAUGAACUUUGACCAGAAGCCGUGUUUUGUGGGAUUGCCACUUUAAUCGCUCCUGUUCAUCAUUAGGACUGCAGCCAGAGUGUGGAAGGAGUGACAGCACAGAGGAAGAGAUGGUCCAAGACCAAAGAGGAAAGAAAUGGCAUAAGAUGGGACAGUGUUCUAUGAUCUCUAACUGGCCAAAGAAAAAUGAGAAACAAAUUUAAAAGAAGACAGUUGGAUGACUUAAACACCACCCCUGAGAGGCAGCUGUUUCCAGAAUAUUGCACAAUUUAUUGAGUUCAUGAGAAUCGUGAUCGUUGGCAGCACCGAACUUCACGGAGGGAAUCAUAGGCACUUUAAUUCCAAUUUGUUGACUUAUGGAGGAAGAAAUUUCUCCCAGUGGUGUCCCUUCAUCCAGGAACAAGAGCCAUCAAAGUGUCACAGACUUAGAGCCGGAAGGGCUCUCCGCUAGUGUUUCUGCCAGUCCUCUUGGUUUUACACAUGAGGAAACUGAGGCCCAGAGAAGUUACCCAGUAGCAGAUCUGCAAGUCACCCAGUAGCAGAUCUGCAAGGAGCUCUUAGCAAUCCUGACUCCAAGUGUAAUGCUCUUGCAUUAGCUCUGUGCUGCCUCCUAGAUGUUGGUCUUCUUAAUGUUGAUAGCACAUUUGCUCAAAUGUUUGCUAAUAUGGUUUGGCUGUGUCCUCACCCAAAUCUCAUCUUGAAUUGUAGUUCCCAUAAUCCCCACUUGUCGUGGCAGGGACCCAGUGGGAGGUAAUUUAAUCAUGGGUGUGGUUACCCUCAUGCUGUUCUCAUGAUAGGGAGUGAAGUCUCACGAGAUCUGAUGGUUUUAUAAACAAGAGUUCUCCUGCACAAGCUCUGUUGCCUGCUGCCAUGUAAGAAGUCCCUUUGCUCUUCCUUCAUCUUCCGCCAUGAUUGUGAGGCCUCCCCAGCCAUAAGGAACCAUGAGUUCAUUAAACCUCUUUUUUUAUAAAUUA